CAGGUGUGAUUGGUGCUCAGUGAUUCUGGAGGGACGUGGUGACUGUUGACAACACAACUUCUCUGACCCAAGACUCUACACUCUUCAGAGUAGGGGUGAAGGCACAUCAGCGACUAGACAAGGAGUCAUGAAGAGACAGCGGGGAGCCCUGCUGGGGCUUCUGUGGGUGCAGGUUUGCUGGGUGAGAGGGAUGGACGUGGAGCAGACACCUGCAGCCCUGAGCCUCCAGGAGGGAGCCAGCUCUACCCUGAGGUGCAAUUUUUCCAGCUCGGUGAACAACGUGCAGUGGUUCCGACAGAACCCCGGGGGCGGCGGCCUCACCCGGCUGUUUUACAUAGUUUCAGGGAUGAAGCAGGAUGGGAGGUUGAACUGCUCGGUGAACACUAAGGACCGGCACAGCAGCCUGCACAUCAGGGCCUCCCAGCAGGAAGACUCAGCCACCUAUCUGUGUGCUGUGGAGGCACAGUGCUCCCUGCUGCUCUGCAGCCUGUCCCCAAAUUGCAGCGGGGCUCCCAGCCCAGGCUCCUCCACCAGGAAGCCUUCCUUGUGCAGCCGCAUUUGCACAGCGUGCUUGGGACCAUCUGGGGCUUUGCAGGCUCAAAGCUGGUGGUGGUAAACCUUGCCAAUAAAUUAUUCAAAGUGAAAGUGUGUAUGUGCACAUUGCAUGAAGCAUAUUGGAGGGAUGUUAGUUCUUAAAAUGUUUAGAAUCUCUGGUUUUGGAAAUUGCUGCCACAUGGGAAAGCAAAGAUCCAUAGGCUUUGAAAUAGAAAUUUAAGAUAAAGAUAAGAGCUUCAAUGGAGAAGAAUAACAUUUUCAUAUGAAGUUUGAACUUAUCCAAUGAACCCAUUAUUAACACAGAAGAUAAUUUGAAAUUAAUUUUUCUUGUAACUUAAGAUGUAGUAAGAUGCAUAGACCAGCAUUCUGAAUUAUAUACAAAUCA